GAGGAGAGCACUGAAGUAAGAGGAGAAUUUUUACUGUGUUUUGAAUUUAAGUUCAAACAAACAACAAAACUUGUGACAUCCAGUCUUGAUUGAGAGAUGAAUAAAUACCUCAGUAGUUACUCAGGAUAAAGCAGCAUUAGAUCCUUCCUCAUAUGAUUCAACAUAUUGGCUAACUCAUUAAAAUUAAUGGUCUCAGUGACCAUCCAAGUUGUAUUUUUCUUGUUCCUUUAGAAACUAUUAAUUUCCUCAGAAUUUAAAAAACAUUUCAUUCUGAAAAGUACCUAUUAUACCUGCAUGUAAGCUAAUAUUAAAUAUGCACCACCUUAGUUGUAUUAAAAACACUGCAAUUCAAAUAUCAAAAUGUAAUUGACCCAGUUAAAGAACAACAGUUGUGAAUUUAUUUUUUAUUCUUGUUUUCCUCCAUGAAAUGAGCCUGUUUUCUUUGGAGAAAAAUGAGUAAGGAAAGCCUCAAAUACAUGGAUGUAAUUGCCUUCAUUAAAAGCGGGCUGAACAGACUUUAUCCUGUGGGGUCUACUCUCUGACUCUCUGAGCCUCAAAGUACUGAACCUGGAAAUCCAAGCAAUGGGAUCAAGAGAACUGGAAGUGAGAGAUUGCAAUUUGCACAAGAGUGAAGGAACCUGCAGCUGAACAAUGCCCUGCACAGACAAGGAGCUGCUCUUUGCCAGAUCCUGGAGAUGUCCUCACAAGAAAUCAGGACAAUAAGGGGAUGAUGGAGGGAGCUGUGAGUUAUGCUUGAAAACCAGUAGUGGCAGCGACGAAGUGUUCCACAAGGAGCCCGGGGGAACAGAGUGUUAAUAAGCGCUGGGUUUGGCACCUGAGGAACCACGGAGAUGCUGAGGGAUUAUAUAAAACAAACAAGUCUGCUGAAGAGAUGCUAACUUCUUGUGAGAGGAAGGAAGGGCAGAAUGAACAGCUGGAGAUGGACUCUUGGUCAUCAUGAAGAACUUGAUUCCAGCCUAACUAUUAGGAUGACUUUGAUCACUCUCCUGUACAAGGUGUGUGUAAGCCAAGCUUCCCAUCACGGUGGCUCAAGAAGUCUCUUAUCUUGAAAUGAUCACUAAGAAGACUAGGAGAUAAAACCUAUCUAUAGGAGUGCCCCCUCCCACCGGGCUGUACAACCAGGCCUUUCAAGGGAAAAAAGGGUGGCUGGGCUUCUGCGAGUAAAAGCCUGUUCAGUCUUCUCACCUGAAUAACCCUGCAGAGUGCAUACUGUCGGAAUGCUUGUGUGUCUUUGUAUCUUGUGCUAUCUUGGCAUCUCUGCAUCAGCACAAAGUCAAAAGAGCAUAUUUUCAUCCUAUAAGAACUGGUAUCCUGGCAUCAGGCUGAGCAUUGUAUAAUGCUCUUGGGAAAAGGUUUUACUGCAGUCAUUUGAGACUCUGGUGACUGAAGAGGGUGAAAAUAAAAGAAGAAAUCAAAUAGGGAUCUUGAUAAAUAGAAUUUCAGAUCUUGCAUAAUAUCAUUCAAUGGCAACAGCAGGUGUUUGACAGUACUGUGAACUUCCUCAGAAUGGGAUCCUGCCAACAUGGCUGUGAUUCAGUGCAAUGAUUCAAUGACUGCAGGACGGUAUCCUGCCAACCAGCCUUCCAGCAGAAAACUGUUCACCCCACUGCAAGCACUGCCAGUCCAUUAGCAUUUCAGAUUUGGUCUAUCUGCCUGUCAGUAGAAGGCGUGCAUCCCCUUCAGGUAAUGGAAGGAGGGAGGGACAAAAGUUCCCUCUUCUCCCAGGGAAUAAAAGGCAAAAUUAUCAGCUGCAAUGCUAUCUCUGAGGAUGAACAUGGGAUGUGUUUUCUUUAAAGAUGAGAGUUUGAAAAAAAAUGGCUUCCUUUUGUUCUCCAGCCCUGCUUUUCCUUCCACCUCCAACCAGAAGCCUUGUUAUAAUAAGACAUGAGGUUCUCAUCAGCUUUCACUUAUGCCUUCUAAACUGUGCAGAAAUACUACCAACAUCGUGAGAUAAGCAAAGAACCUCAAGGAGCUGCCGUUAGUAGUCCCUCCUAUAGAUAUUUUUUUCAUCUGCUACCCUGCAGCUGGGCAAGAACCAAUGCCUUCCCCAUUAUCCUCCCCAAUGCCUGCACACUGAGCCUCCUGUGCUCCUGCAGCACAGACGUGCAGGUAUAUGCCCGUAGCAGGAACAUUCCCAACCACGUGUCUCCUGGAAACACUUGGCAUGAGUGCAGAGGAGGACAGGCCUCGAUCAGCCAUCACCCUCCAGCUAUGCAGCCCACUAGCCUGCGGCCGAGCUACGUGAGAUGAAACCUCCUUCAAGCAAACACGCGGUUAGGGGUGCGACAUGGCGGGAGCAGACGCAAUUUAGCUCAGCUGUCCUCUUGCUCCGUUUUUCCAUUGUGUAGCAGAAGGAAAACAGAGACUGGAGCUGAGAAGCAAUUCACAGCGCUGCUACUGUAAUCUUUGUUACAGCACAAUGUUCUCAUUCUUGCCCGGCUCUUUUAAACCUGCGGUAAUAUGAAUAAUGAUAUACUCCACUUACGGAGACUUUGUUAAAUACUUUGCCUUUAUCACAGGUGCUGCAUAACCUUCUAGGAUCAAAAGGGGCUCUUUGAGAGGUGAUUAGAGCAGGAGGGAAGGGUUUAGUGGUCUAAGCGGCACAUUUGCAAUAAUUAGGCUCCCUGGAGUGAUAGGUUCAAAUCCUAGCAGGGUUGACUCAGCCCUUCAUCCCUCUAAAGCAGACGAAAUUAGUUUUCUGUAGUAGGGUCUUUUGGACAAGAACUUAAAAAAUACACAGGCACAUGAGUUUCUUCUUUUUACUGCAAGGCUGAAUUGUACAAAUUUAUAAACCAGAGACUCGGGGCAUUUCACAUAAACAUAGCUGUUUGCCCAAACCCUACUUGCCAAAAACCUGUCUUCACCCUUGCAGUGACCGUGCAGCUCUCCUGCUGCCAGCCUCCUUCCCAGAGGGGCUCUUCGCUGGUGAAGCGUGUCGUGUACUGAGGGCUGUGGUUUGGGAUAAAGCAAUGCAGCUUGAAUGUAUCCUAUUACUAAACGUAACCAUCAGCCUCUAGUUUUUAGACUACCCUUUAAAAACGAGUAUUUUCUACUACACAUUGAUUUUCCCUCACUUGAGCGUGACUAGCCCAGUCAUGAGUCAAAGCAGAGCAUGGGCUCACGUAGCACCAUAGGCUGAAGGGGAGUUGACUGUGGUUUUUCUUUAAAAAAUAACCAAAAAAAGCUUUCCUAGGAUGAUUCCUGUUCUUGGAAGGGGUGGUGGGGAGUGGUAGUGGAGGGGUGCCUUUUCUGCCUGUCUAUUUGGUUAGCUUGGAGGAAGCCAAGCUCAUUGUCAGCAGGGAGCAGUUCAAGAGGAACUCCCAGAGCAAGCCUUUGGGAGCAUCCUUGAGGGUAAGGGAAUAGAAAAUGAAGAAAAGGGCAUUUCAACCUUGUAUCCUAGGGCUUUCCUUAGCACAGACAAAAAUCAUGCAACCAAAGAAAUGACAGCGAAGAGACAGAUCGUGAACAAAACACACCAAAAAGCUUAUUUUGGUGGAAACAGAAGAAGGGACAGGGUCGGAGGCCAUGGGUAGGGGGCUGGGACAGGGAGCAGUAGGUGGGGAGAGGUGACGAGAGGUUUCUAGGGACCGCGCAGGGAGCAGAAGGGAUGAACUGGCGGAGGAAAUAAAAUUCCCGAAGAUGACAUAGAAAACAACCAUUUGGAAAUGGAAAAAAGGUGAGAGAGGAACUGACAGGGACCAAAGACAGACACGGCUAGAAAAAAUGUCAUCGAGCCUGAAGGAGAGGGAACAUUGCAUUUAUUCCUCUUUGGUUUUGUUUUCCUAGUGGAGGAGGAGCGUAGUGAGGAGGCAGGCUGUGCCUGGCAAUGGGCUUUCCUGAGUUCUUGUGGAGGGUCCUCUUGCACUUCUCCAUGGCCUGGAGAUGCAGAUACUGUAGACCAAGCCGGCAUUUUGUUUGUCCAACCCUAAAGUUGUAUACAAAACUCUUCUCCAACAAAGAUAACUGUCUUCCCCAUGCAGUCAAUACUGGGAAAAAGGAGGAGAUGCAAGUAUGGCUGAAUAGCAGUCGAGUACAGCUAGCUAAUUGCAGCUUCAUGUAAGCUCUUUCAUAGCCGUUAUCAUAACUGUAUAUAUUUCCAGCCCAAUUCGUCUGUCUUUUCCGGCCUCCUGUCUUUGCAGCUGCCUCCUCUUCUCCCCUUCCUGAUGGCUGCAAAUCUCUGCUUAUCACCCGUUUUCAUGCUGUGUUUUGUCUGCCUCUUUGUGUUCAUCCCUGUACCAGCUUCUUGGCUGCAUGUGGCAGUUUCUUAUUUCCUGGAUGUUGUGAGAGACCAGUAUGAACUACUUGCUUCAGUUAGCAUGUGUGACCUUUUGCCUUAUUUUGUUUUUUCGGAUGAUUUAGUUUUACACAUGUUUACACUAAGGACUAGUUUUGCAAACUGAAGUGGUCAAUAUGAAUGUGCAAUUGCUAUGUGAGGCAGUAAGAAUUAAGACAAUUAUUUAUUUAUAAAAUUUCUUUUUGUAUGAAUGUAUCCAUCCACUGCAUGAAUUUUUCAUGCAAGCUCAUCUUGAAAAAAACAUUCCCUCCUCCCGGGAAGGAUUUGAACUCUUUGGGGAAUUCCCCCAAAUUCUCCUGUUUUUUUUCUUUAAUUGAACCCCACCGUGUAAGAAGAGCUCCGUCUACAAUAUUGAUUGCAGAAAAACAUGCAGACCUGUCAGUCUCUCUUUUCCCAAGGCAAAACUCUCCUAUUGUCCUUUUCUGCCAGGGUAUAAUCUCAACAAAGACAGACUUCAAACAGUUAAGCUUCUUCCUAUUGUAUCGGGACUAUACGUAGUGCUCCACUUUACAUUCACAUUUAACAGGUUUCAAGCUUCAGCAAUAAACUAGCAACGUUUUUCCUUCAUGACAGCUGUUUGACAGCUUUUGAAAAUGGAUAAAAAAUGGAAAAUUACCCUACAGAGGAAACAUCUCUUCAUAACUCAGGCUGAGACAUGGCAUGAAUGGAAUAACACACUUAUUGCAUUCUGGGCACUGAACAUAAAAUGCAUUGCCUCCUUCUAUUCCACUUGAUUUGAUAAUCUAGUACAAUUUAGGUCCCUAAUAAAUUAAAUUGUUCAGAAACUUGGUUCACUGCCUAAACUCUGUGCAAAGCUGUGCUGUUUAACGAUGCCUUUCUUUCUUUCAGUGUCUUAUCUUUGGGAUAAAUAAUUCAGCCUAAUAAACCCUGUGAUCUGGGAGGUUAAUUGACACCCACAGUAAUUCCCAGCUUGUGUGCAGCACCCAUAUUUGUCUGUCUUUCACAGAGUCGUGUAGCAUCACCUGAUCUCCGCGGCUCACCAGUCAGGUUCCCUGCAUUGCCAGAAGCCCUAAUCAUUGCAAACGCCACUUCUGCUCCUGAACAGGCAAGGGCCUGAGGUCCACGCGCUUGUUCUGUUUCCCCCAAGUGGUUAUCUGGUUGAUUUCU